AUACCUUUUUCGGCCUUUUGGCUAAGAUCACGUGUAGUAUCUGUUCUUAUCAAUUUAAUAUUUGAUAUGUGAUCCAUUGGCUCACACAAUAUUAAUUCUAUAUUUUGAGGGGGAAGGUUCAUCGAAGUAGCUUGCUACUUGGCCUUCAUGUGUCGUCUAGGUGUUGCACUACAACCUAAGCCUGGCAUGCCCCAU
rfam:Capsicum annuum cultivar Zunla-1 chromosome 10, whole genome shotgun sequence